rnacentral:lncRNA from 1 species
AGCGGGGCCGGGAGUCACUCGCGAGAGCUACGCGCGCGCGCUACGCUUCGUAGCUCGUAGCCUGUGCCCGAGCACACUACGUAGUGUCUCCACCUGUGAGUGAACGUUAAUGAACUCUUGCCUACGAGCCUUAGUGAAGCGGUGUUUGUGCCACUUUGGGAACGAAAAAGUGCUAACGUUGUGCCGGCGUUCAAGGUUGGAAGUUAAAACUUCAUUAAACUCUGUCUGGCGACCUAAUUAGUA